UAAUGUUUUCAGAUCACCUGAAAACAGUCUUACGUACUUGUAUUUAACACAUGAUUUGUUUUUCAAUGUGUAAUUGUCAAAGAAAUUAAAUUAUUAGUUAUUCAAAUCAUGUUUAUAGGUUAAAACCACAUUGACAGUGAUUCAAAGGAUAUCUUUUUUAACAUUGCCAUUAAAAACAUUUAAUUAAUCUUUAAAUUGAAAUUAGGUUGCAUACAUAAUUUAUCAGAGAAGUAUAUAAAUAAGGAGGCUCAGAACAAGAACAGUUGUUGACGCAUCUUUGGAGUUGCUGUUGCUUGAAGCCUCGUCCAGAGAAGUUUCCAAUAUGCUGCGAUUGAUUUUGCUUUUUGCUUUGUGUUUCGCUGUUGUUAUGUCACAGUUUCGUGGCAGAGGUUUAUUUGCACCACGUCCUUGGUUUGGUAACAACAAUGGGUGGAACAACAAUAAUUGGUGGAACAACAACAACUGGUGGGACAACAACAAUGGGUGGAACAACAACAACUGGUGGAACAACAACAACUGGUGGAACAACAACAACAAUUGGUUCGGUAACAACAACGGUUGGUGAUGAAUCAGUGACUGGUGAUAGAAAGUUCCAAAGAUGGCGGUCACAAUGGUCGUGGUUUCUGGAUGAAGUUUAAGAACUUGCUGUGAUUUUUUUAUAAUAAAAAAUAUCAUUAUG